AUGGACUCGCUCCGCCUCCGGCCGUCCUCGCUCCGCUCCGCGCCCGGCGCCGCCGCCGCCCGCCGGCGAGAUCAUAUUCUACCAUCAUUUUGUUCGAUCCAACGAAAUGGUAAAGGGCGAGUUACUUUGUCCAUCCAAGCAUCCAAAGGCCCUACCAUUAAUCACUGUAAAAAGUUCUUGGAUUGGAAAUAUUCCAACCAUAGGAUAUCACAUCAAUCAAUAAAUACUUCUGCAAAAGCUGGGCAAUCGCUACAGCCUGAAACUGAAGCACACGAUCCUGCAAGCUUCUGGAAGCCAAUAUCAUCUUCUCUGGACGCGUUCUACAGGUUUUCUCGGCCACAUACCAUCAUAGGAACAGCACUAAGCAUAGUCUCAGUUUCCCUUCUAGCUGUCGAGAGCUUAUCUGAUAUUUCGCCCUUGUUCCUCACUGGUUUGCUGGAGGCAGUGGUGGCUGCUCUUUUUAUGAACAUCUAUAUUGUUGGAUUGAAUCAGUUGUUCGACAUUGAAAUUGACAAGGUUAACAAGCCAACUCUUCCACUAGCAUCUGGGGAAUACUCUCCUGCAACUGGAGUUGCAAUAGUGUCAGUAUUUGCAGCCAUGAGCUUUGGCCUUGGAUGGGUUGUUGGAUCACCACCUCUGUUUUGGGCUCUUUUUAUUAGCUUUGUUCUUGGAACUGCUUAUUCAGUCAAUCUGCCGUACUUUCGAUGGAAGAGAUCUGCUGUUGUUGCAGCACUCUGCAUAUUAGCAGUGCGUGCGGUGAUUGUUCAACUGGCAUUUUUUCUCCACAUUCAGACAUUUGUUUUCAGAAGGCCGGCAGUCUUUUCAAAGCCAUUGAUAUUUGCAACUGCCUUCAUGACAUUCUUCUCAGUUGUAAUAGCAUUAUUCAAGGAUAUACCCGAUAUUGAAGGGGACCGCAUCUUUGGAAUUCAAUCUUUUAGUGUUAGAUUAGGUCAAAGCAAGGUUUUCUGGACUUGUGUUGGUCUACUUGAGGUUGCCUACGGUGUUGCGAUACUGAUGGGGGUAACUUCUUCCAGUUUGUGGAGCAAAUCUCUAACUGUUGUGGGCCAUGCAAUCCUCGCCAGCAUCUUGUGGAGCAGCGCACGGUCCAUCGACUUGACAAGCAAAGCUGCGAUAACAUCCUUCUACAUGCUCAUCUGGAGGCUGUUCUACGCGGAGUACCUGCUCAUCCCUCUGGUGAGAUGA
rnacentral:rRNA from 1 species